CUAUUUAAAAUUAUCUUUAAUUGUGGAAUAUUUGUUCUCGUGUAUGGGUGGGUCCUUGUACGGACUUAUCUGAAAUGUGGUGUUCCACAAGGUUCAAUCCUCGGUCCUCUUUUUUUCAAUCAAAAAGUACAUGAAAACAUCAUCCUCAAAGUAAAAAGUCGACUUUUAUGCAGAUAAUACUCAGGUGUAUUCCUCCCUCUAGGACGUAGGAUGUUAUCCAAAUUAUUUGGGUAGCUUUAGGACCUCUAGUCCUUUAUGUUUUUCCAACAAAAAUCAUAGCCAGAGGGAGUGAUAAAGCAGUAAUUAGUUUCAUGUUACCUU